rnacentral:tmRNA from 1 species
GGGGCUGACCGGUUUUGACAGGAUGUGUGGGGGUGUAUGCCAGCAUGCAGGCUCAUGGGAUGAGAGCCUUAAAAGAUAGUCCUACAAUUUACGUGGCGAAAAUACUUACGCCAUGGCCGCUUAAUCUAAACUGAGUUUAGGUUUGCUUAUCCGCUGAUAAGAUCGGUGGAGGCCAUCAUCGCCCACACGUCUGUUCUGCGCGUGUGGAUUAGCGGUGUCGUCAGCAUGAACUGGGCAAGGCUGUGUUGUGCAGCGGUGUCAAGAUAACAACAACUACGAUUAAACUCAGGAUGCUCAUGACCUUGUUUAGUCCGACAAUGAAUAUGAGCUAAGCAUGUAGAACGUACACAUUCAUCUUCUCUGGACCAGGGUUCGAUUCCCUGCAGCUCCACUU